rnacentral:lncRNA from 1 species
AAGCUCUGAAAUUGGCAGCGUUAGGAUGCAGUUUUUUGGCUGGUGUGGAACUCAUCAAGCCAGGCUCAACACAGUCACGAAAGGUUCUAUUGUUUACUCUCAUGGACAUUGCAUACUUGGUAUCAUGUGCUGGGACGUGUUCUGCAUUUAUACUCGAAAUAUAUUACGCUUUGUGCAACGAGACCGCAGGCAUUAGCUGGACUGAAAAACAAAUCUUUGACGUCGUCUUCAUCUUACUGUUCUGCGUCACAAUCGUGCUGUUGUGUGUCAUAUUUAUUCAGCAACGACUCAGCGGCGCAUGCGCUCCAGGUAUUAUAUGCAUUGUUCACGGCAUGAUUCUUUCAACAAUGAUAAGUGAUAUUUUGGAGGC